GUGCUUGCUUCGGCAGCCCAUAUACUAAUAUUGAAAUGAUACAGACAUUGUCAUGGUCCCUGUGCAAGGAUGACAUGCAAAUUUGUGAAGUGUUUCAUAUUUUU